rnacentral:lncRNA from 1 species
UAUUAAAUUAACCCUGUCAUGCUGUCAAAAUUUUAUUGAAUGGUGGGUUUUGCUUGCUGCAGUGGGCUGGGUUCUGUGGACUAGCCUAUUAGAGGGGCACGAAAUCCUGACAUAUUUUACCUCGGUUGGAAAGGUGAAUAGGGUAACUCCUGAGGUAUAACUUUUAGAAUUCACUUCACGCCAAACCACCAUGUGAGGGGGAACUUGGCCAACGCUAAGGAACGACUAUAUUUUCUAAAUAAAAACAUGAUUUAUGAGUAUAUAACUUUUUAAUAGCCUUGGCGGACUCAGUUUGGGAUAGCCCUC